AAACGGUGGGACCUUCGGGUGUCCGCCUGAGGAGGGACUCAUGUCCUAUUAGCUUGUUGGUGAGGUAACGGCUCACCAAGGCGACGAUGGGUAGCCGGUCUGAGAGGAUGGUCGGUCACACUGGGACUGAGAUACUGCCCAGACUCCUACGGGAGGCUGCAGUCGAGAAUCUUCCGCAAUGCGCGAAAGCGUGACGGAGCAACGCCGCGUGUAGGACGAAGGCCUUCGGGUUGUAAACUACUGUCAGGGGGUAUGAAGGCGCCGAUGACCCACAUCGCGCGUUUGACGUCAACCCCAAAGGAAGCUCUGGCUAACUACGUGCCAGCAGCCGCGGUAAUACGUAGAGAGCAAGCGUUGUUCGGAAUCACUGGGCAUAAAGGGUGCGUAGGCGGCUUGUCGUGUUGGCUGUGAAAGCCCCCGGCUUACCCGGGGAAUGGCAGCCGAAACUGGCGGGCUUGAGGACAGGAGGGGAGAGUGGAACUCUAGGUGGAGCGGUGAAAUGCGUUGAUAUCUAGGGGAACGCCGGUAGCGAAAGCGACUCUCUGGUCUGUCUCUGACGCUGAGGCACGAAAGCUAGGGGAGCGAACGGGAUUAGAUACCCCGGUAGUCCUAGCCGUAAACGAUGGGCACUAGGUAGAGGAGGUUUCGACGCCUUCUCUGCCGAAGCUAAUGUGUUAAGUGCCCCGCCUGGGGAGUAUGGUCGCAAGGCUAAAACUCAAAGGAAUUGACGGGGGCUCACACAAGCGGUG
rnacentral:rRNA from 1 species